rnacentral:rRNA from 1 species
AGAUUGAACGCUGGCGGCAUGCUUUACACAUGCAAGUCGAACGGUAACAGGCCGCAAGGUGCUGACGAGUGGCGAACGGGUGAGUAAUGCAUCGGAACGUGCCCAGUCGUGGAGGAUAACGCAGCGAAAGCUGGUGCUAAUACCGCAUACGAUCUAUGGAUAGAAAGCGGGGACCGAAAGGCCUCGCGCGAUUGGAGCGGCCGAUGUCAGAUUAGCUAGUUGGUGGGGUAAAGUCCCACAGGCGACGAUCUGUAGCUGGUCUGAGAGGACCGACCAGCCACACUGGAACUGACGACACGGUCCAGACUCCGUACGGGAGGCGAGCGAGGU